rnacentral:rRNA from 1 species
UACAGAGGUCCCAAGCGUUGUUCGGAUUCACUGGGCGUAAAGCGUGCGCAGGCGGUUGUGCAAGACAGAUGUGAAAUCCCCGGGCUUAACCUGGGAAUUGCAUUUGUGACUGCACGGCUAGAGUGUGUCAGAGGGAGGUAGAAUUCCACGUGUAGCAGUGAAAUGCGUAGAUAUGUGGAGGAAUACCGAUGGCGAAGGCAGCCUCCUGGGAUAACACUGACGCUCAUGCACGAAAGCGUGGGGAGCAAACAGG